rnacentral:rRNA from 1 species
UUCCCAGACUCCUACGGGAGGCAGCAGUGGGGGAUGUUGCACAAUGGGGGGAACCCUGAUGCAGCGACGCCGCGUGGGUGAAGGAGCGUUUCGGCGCGUAAAGCCCUAUCGGCAGGGAAGAAGAUGACGGUACCUGACCAAGAAGCCCCGGCUAACUACGUGCCAGCAGCCGCGGUAAUACGUAGGGGGCAAGCGUUAUCCGGAUUUACUGGGUGUAAAGGGAGCGUAGACGGCGAUGCAAGCCAGAUGUGAAAGCCCGGGGCUCAACCCCGGGACUGCAUUUGGAACUGUGUGGCUGGAGUGUCGGAGAGGCAGGCGGAAUUCCUAGUGUAGCGGUGAAAUGCGUAGAUAUUAGGAGGAACACCAGUGGCAAAGGCGGCCUGCUGGACGAUGACUGACGUUGAGGCUCGAAAGCGUGGGGAGCAAACAGGAUUAGAUACCCGAGUAUG